GACGAACGCUGGCGGCGUGCUUAACACAUGCAAGUCGAACGGUAAGGCCCUUCGGGGUACACGAGUGGCGAACGGGUGAGUAACACGUGGGUGAUCUGCCCUGCACUUCGGGAUAAGCCUGGGAAACUGGGUCUAAUACCGGAUAGGACCACUGCCUGCAUGGGUGGUGGUGGAAAGCUUUUGCGGUGUGGGAUGGGCCCGCGGCCUAUCAGCUUGUUGGUGGGGUGAUGGCCUACCAAGGCGACGACGGGUAGCCGGCCUGAGAGGGUGACCGGCCACACUGGGACUGAGAUACGGCCCAGACUCAUGCGGGAGGCAGCAGUGGGGAAUAUUGCACAAUGGGCGCAAGCCUGAUGCAGCGACGCCGCGUGAGGGAUGACGGCCUUCGGGUUGUAAACCUCUUUCAGCACCGACGAAGCGCAAGUGACGGUAGGUGCAGAAGAAGGACCGGCCAACUACGUGCCAGCCGCCGCAGUAA
rnacentral:rRNA from 1 species